UGGACAACAGUACAGGAUAUGACUCAGUGGUUUGCAAAAUGGGAUCACAGCUGUGAAUGCACCUUAUUACCAUGGCGGCCAUCUUUUUGUGGUGUUACCGUCAGACUAGGAAGCUAUCAUGUCUGACUGCAAUAAUGUGUUACUGGAUGUAAGUCCCAUAAACCUCAGUAAUCUGACAAGUUGUGGUCAUUUCACAGCUUUCAGCUGAUUAGCUGCAACAAAGACAAUAGCUGGAGAGAGUCAGGAGAAAGACUGGACUGUAACUUAGUUUACCAAACAGCUGUAGCUGAUAGGCCAACAUCAGAACAUGGCUAAUGUUUGCAAUCAGUAGCUUCAGAGGGCUUCAAUGGCUGCAGAGCUGGAGAGGGAAUAUCAAAGUUUCAGACAGUGUUCAAAGUUGUGUCUUUUGCCUUAUUUAAAUUUAAAGUUACAUUUUGUAGAAUUUAGCUACAUUUAUCCAAAGGAAUGGAAUAUAUUAUGUUGAGGUAUACCUAUAUAAGUUGAUAUUUGAUGGAAAAUCAUGUUUUUUUUUAUUUCUGAUUUCCUCGCUCUGGAGGCUAACUUGUGACUUUACUCUCGUAGUAUAACGAAUUCAUUUUUUUCACAAUGACUCUAUUUGCUUACGAUUUUAUUCUCAUACUAAUACUUAUAAAAGUGGCCUGAAUUCUCAGUUGAAGAGCUGACUAUGUUGAGCAUUAAGAAUAAGGAUAAGAAGAACUUUAUUAAUCCCCGAAGGAAAAUUCAAUUGUCUGUUGUCUCACAUAAUAUUUCUCUAAAAAAUUAUCUAUUAUUUACAGAAGAGUUAUAAAGUCUGAUGACUGUUGGUACAAAAGAGCUUCUGAAUCUUUCUGUCCUGCAGUGAAGAGAGAGGAGCCGUCCACCACCACUGGCCCUUUGGUCCAUCAAGGUGUUGUGAAGUUGGUGAUCCAUGUUCUUUAGAAUAGUCUCCAUCUUCCUCAGUGUAGAUCUCUCCACUACAUCCUCCACUGAGUCCAGCUUGAGUCCAACCACAGCGCCAGCCUUUUUCACCAGUUUGUUAAGACGUCUUGCAUCUUUGUGUUUUAUUACUUGGCUAAUAUCAGUUUGUGUGACCAAAACAAUUACAAACUCAUCAUGGAUAUCUCAAAACCUUAUUAACUUAUUUAUUUAGAUAAAAUAACUAACUAUAGAAAACUAUAGCAUAGCC